GUAGAGGUGGCAGAGCAUGGCCCAAUUGCAAAAGAUUUAAGCUCUUUAUACAGAGGUUCAAGUCCUCUCCUUUACU
rnacentral:tRNA from 1 species